UGGGGGAUUUUGCACAAUGGGCGCAAGCCUGAUGCAGCGACGCCGCGUGAGGGAUGAAGGCCUUCGGGUGGUAAACCUCUUUCGCUGGGUUGAAAGGCCAUGCUUUGGGUGUGGUGGAUUUGAACUGGUAAAGAAGUACCGGCUAAUUACGUGCAAGCAGCCGCGGUAAUACGUAGGGUACUAGCGUUGUCCGGAUUUAUUGGGCGUAAAGGGCUUGUAGGUGGUUUGUCGCGUCUGUCGUGAAAUCCUGUGGCUUAACCAUGGGCUUGCGGUGGGUACGGGCAGGCUUGAGUGCGGUAGGGGAGACUGGAAUUCCUGGUGUAGCGGUGGAAUGCGCAGAUAUCAGGAGGAACACCGGUGGCGAAGGCGGGUCUCUGGGCCGUUACUGACACUGAGGAGCGAAAGCGUGGGGAGCGAACAGG
rnacentral:rRNA from 1 species